GAAGGUAUAGCUCAGUGGUAAAACACAUGCUUAGCAUACACGAGGUCCUGGGUUCAAUCCCCAGUAGCUCCA
rnacentral:tRNA from 1 species